AUCAUAAACGUUCAAAAAAAUUCACUGUACCUAAACACUUAGUAAUUACCAAAUAGUUAAAUUUGAAUAUCACACGAUAGAAAAUUUAUCAUGAGCGUAACUUAAGAUUGCGUCAUGAAAAUAUAAUUUUUGGAAUGACCAAUUGUAAUUCAGAAUUAAAAAUGAGUACCUAAUAUAAAAUAUUUCAAGCUUAGCUAUUAUGUAGCAUAAAAAAAUAUCCACUUUAUCAAACUAUAUAAUAUCUUAUUUUUUAGUUUUAUUAAUAAAUAUCUUGAAUAUUUAGCAUAGCUAUAAUUUCAAAAUCUACGUUAAUAAUUAUGAUGGUCGGUUACACAUCAGAACUCAACUUCAGAACUUAUUUAAAACUCUUCAUGUAAUAUCUUGACAGUCUUUAAAUUUUACAGGGACUUAAGAAAAUGUAAUGGAGAAAUUAUGGUGCUGGACCUACCUAUUCAGCAAAAUAAUAAAUAUUUGGAAACAAAAACUGAAUUAGAUGUUAGUUAAUUAGAACUUAACACUGCCGGAGGGACUAAGCCUCGUAUAUUUAGCCGAUCUCUUUCAGAAAGAGGAAAAGCGAGUCCUUUAUUCGAAACAGGAUCAUUCACUAGAUUUCUUCCCUUCUUACGAACAAUUUCAGCACGAAGAUACUUUCCAUUAAUCAUCUUGGAUGAUAUAAAUCUCUUUAUGAGCAAAUACAUUACACGACUUUACUGCAAUAUAAGCUAAAUUGAUUGAUAUUCUUUAAGAUAAAAUUAUAUAUUUACUAUAUACCUAAGAGAUGCAAUAGGUCUAACGAAUGCUCUCUGGAGCUACCCAGAAUGAAAUAUUGCCACGAAUGCGCCUGUGAGGUAAGAAGAUAGAAUUUGCUACAAAUGAAAGUUAUCGGACAUCUUUCUUCUCACUUUAUAUAAAGUUUUUUCAGAUUAUAGGGAGUUCUAUUCCUACGAGCGACAAAAGUUAUUAUUAACGGAACCUAACAUACGUUUAAAAAAUGUUCAAGUGUUAUUUUAUAAAUUGGGAGAAUAUACGCAAAAAAUUCAUUUGGUUGAUUGAAUUUAAAUAUUAACAACAAUAUAAAGUAGCACAAGCACUAUCUCCAAAGUGGACGUAGAGAUUACAAUACGAGAGUUGAACAUACCAAAAAUUAUAUCUUUAUGAUGUUAACCUUUUCGUUAUUGAGAAUGAAGGAUUAGGAGCAUCAAAUAUAUAUACUUUGGAUGAGGAAACUAUUCAGAAAGGCUCAAAUUGUGUGGCAUCUCUCUUAUAUCAUGAAUAAUCAUAUCAUAUAAGUGGUGUUCUGCGUCUUGAAAUUCAAUGUGGUAAUUGAGGAUUGUCUUUGGAAGAAAUACAAUCUUUGCUUGAUGAAGAAUAUUCUGACAGUGAAACUGAGUGUGCUCAAGUUUUAACAAUUGAACCGCCCAUUGAAGAAGCAGCAGCGGACACAGACUGUGACUCUGAUUCAUCCGACAAUCAGGUGACU
rnacentral:lncRNA from 1 species